GGUAGGAAGGAGGAGAGCUCAGCAGGAAGGUUUGGAGCUGCUGGAGAAGCUCUUACUAGAGGGUGUAAAGCACGAGGAGGCAGCACAAGGAUUCUCAUCUUCCAACAAACGAAUGCCCUGCAGGAAUGGGACGGGAAGCAGACAGCCCCCGGAGCUGCCAUCUGAGAGCAGAAUGAAGGAGGAAGGCUGCAGAAGAGGUCCAGAGUGUGCCAUGAGCUUGUCAGUGCAGCUCCGGAAAGCUUGAGCGAUGCCCCUGGGACACCACAGGGCUGGAAGGAUCUGUGAGGAAUCUGCUGGAGGGGAAAAACAAUGAAUAAAAACACAAAAGCCUCUCCCAGCCACCAUGGUGCCAGGAGCAGGAACUGCGUGGCUUCCAGAGAUCAAGCUCUGGCAAAUAACAAAUGCCAGGAGCGGGGAAACCUUCUCAGGAUGGCCAUGAAAGACCCAGCAAUGGGGAGGGGGGGCUGCUAACACAAAGAAGGAGGAAAAGGACACGGCUGGGAGGCACUGUCACCACCCAGGGCACUUCCAGAAGGUUAAAGUCUGAUGUGGGAAGGCUCUGCCAGGCUGGCAAAGUAGGUCAGAAUUAAGUACGGUUCAACUGCGAUGCGGCGUGACUGAUGUCUGCGCUCUCAGGGCUGGAUGGAGUCCACCCUGCAGAGCAAUCUCUGCCUCCCCGGAGAGGAGCGAGGCGCUCUGCCAGGCCUGCACGCUCCGGGAGGAGGUGAUCUGGGGUCCCCAUCAGCACACAGGGGUGGGCAGGGUCAAGGUCAAGCGGUGGGCUGAUUAGAGGUCAGGUCGUAGUAAAUGGCCUGGAAAUGAUGAAAACUCAGUGGUUUUCUUCAAAGGCAGGGUGGGUUAUCACCAGCAAACGGGAAGGUUGGGAGCGAUGAAACAGUUCCCCCCAGAAGGGGAAGAGAGAAAUGGUGUCAGGGCAGGCACUAACACCGGUUCAGGGGACAGGGAGGCACAGAGGUGACAGCCACGUGCAGGUCAUGAGCGCAGGGAGAGGCUCCAGCCCUGCAGUGACAGCAGAGAGGGGAAGUGGCUGCCCCAGGAGCCAGCAGCACUCAGAGAAGGUGUCUUUUGUCCCAGCGUGGUUUAAGGCAAAGAUUUCUUGCGAGCUGUGUGCUUUAGGGGGUGGCUUUAGAUAAACCCUCUCCAAAGAAGGGGAAGGGAUGUCUGCAGGUAAAGCUUAGAUAUGUUUUAGCAGUGUA